CUUGAAAAAGGUAUCUGGACAAAUACAGAGUUCUCAGUGGCAACUUUUAUAGCACUAUAUAUAUUGUUCUUAUUCUUAACAUUCCACAGCAUGAAAAGAUGAUCUACAGAAAUGCUAACAAUGUAUCUAACAUUUAUUCUUGGAAAUUUCGAAUCAAACAGAAUUAGCAACAAAGGAAGCGCAAACAUCAAACCACCCCCAACAGGAAGUGUCCAGGAAGGCCGUGCAAGACACGUGACCAGGGCUGUUAAAAC